rnacentral:rRNA from 1 species
CGGAACGGGUAGAGGUAAUAGCGGUGAGCAACCCUGCCCUUCUAGAGGGGGACGAACAGUUGGAAACGACUGCUAAUACCGCAUGACGUGUUUGGAUGGCAUCAUCUGAAUACCAAAGGAGAAAUCCGCUGAAGGAUGGGCUCACGUCUGAUUAGCUAGUUGGCGGGGCAACGGCCCACCAAGGCGACGAUCAGUAGCCGGACUGAGAGGUUGAACGGCCACAUUGGGACUGAGAUACGGCCCAGACUCCUACGGGAGGCAGCAGUGGGGAAUAUUGGGCAAUGGGGACCGAAAGCCUGACCCAGCAACGCCGCGUGAAGGAAGAAGGCCUUCGGGUUGUAAACUUCUUUUAACAGGGACGAAGAAGUGACGGUACCUGUUGAAUAAGCCACGGCUAACUACGUGCCAGCCGCCGC